UCCAGAAACAGACUAGAAGGAAUGAAAAAGAGGGAGCCAGACUCUCCUCCAUAAUGCCCACUGACAGGACAAGAGGCAAUGGGCACAAACUGAAACACACAAAAUCUCAUCUGAACACAAGAUAACACUUUGUCACUCUCAGAGUAGUCAAACACUGGAACAGGUUGCUCAGAGAGGUUGUGAAGUCUCCACCUGCAGAGACAUUCAAAACGUGACUGGAUAUGGUCUUGGGCAACCUGCUUUAUCUAACCAUGCCUGA